UAGAAAAUACACGAUUUACUGAAAAUGGAAUAUACAAUAUAUCAUACUGAUCAUUGCCUGGGUGUUGUGACUCCUUCCUAAUGUGUACAGAGAAAGAAGUUAAAGAAACAAUGUAACUACAAUGACCUCUUGGAGUUUAGUGUCAUUGCAGCUUUACUGCUAAAGACAAAGCCCAACUUCUGUGCAGAAAAUGAACUCUGAAGAGCUCAGCUUUGUGCCCAUGGGCAAUGCCUGACUCACACUGCUGAUUUUAACGGCAUUAUAAAUUGCCCUGACGAUCCCUAUAAAAAAUGCAGAAUGUGACAGGAGGUUUUCACUACUGGGACAUAUCAAGCAUGACUGAAAUCAACAAACUAGGAAGAACUGGAACCUAAUACAAUGCUAGACCUGAGCGGCAGCUACUGUUCUCACCCAAAGAUCAAUAUCUCAGGCCUUCAUCAACCAUACUGCAAUUGGUCACUCCUUCCUCCACUCCGGUCUUCUGAGUCUCUCUGUCUCCUCCCAAACAGGAUGGAGGAUUCCUAGCCUUAUGGAGCAAAGGGCCUGUUUUGACAGCCAUUCCUCUGAGACUGAUGAAACCAAUGAACCUACCAGGCAGCCUUGAGGGCAAAUGUUCAUCCAACUGACCCCUCUAUCAAUAGGUUGACAGGACUGUAUAGUAAUCAUUUGCCCUUCACUAGCUACAUAGUGGCCUCUAGAUGUUCUCUCCAUCAGCUUUGCCUGUACAGCUCACCAUGGUUCACAGACUAAAUGAGAAUGGAGAUAACAAGAGCCCUGGUCGCAUCAGUUUUGUGCCAAGUUUGACCAACUGCAACAUAGAGAUGCCAUGACUCUACAAGAGGCAAAGAGGUUUCUUCACUUCCACCACAGCACCUGCAAGGUCUUGCACAAGUAGAACUAUUCUGAGUAGUGGAAAGCUUCAUGAAUCCAAGCUGCCUCCACUCAGCUAGAGUCAAGUUUUUCUCUGUAUGAUGAAUUUGCAUGUUAUUGAAAGCAAAAACUCUCCCCUGACAGCUAGCUGGGAGGGGGAGAGACUUCAGGAGCAAACUGUAAUUACAUGAACAUACCUACUUUGCUUAGAUACCCACCAGAUAGAGCAGUGCUCCUUAAAGUGAUCAAAUUUGGCUGGUGUUGGGUUACAAAUAAUUUUAGUACUGAAUACAGAGGUAGUGAAAUGCUGUUAUCAAUGUUGUCUUUAUUGUACGAAUGAAGGGGAGCAGAAUUGUACUUACUCUGUCCCAAAUGAGGGGGUCACCCUCAGAUGAAAGGACCUCAUUAAGCCAGGGGCCCGAAUGCCAGACCCCUGUGAAAGUAAGAGGGGUGGGGACAGGUGUUUCAGCCAGGAGGUAUGGACUCUCUCUAAGGGUCCCUGGCAUGGUUUAACCUGUUCCUCCCCACUGUUCAAAGAUAGAGCUAAAUAGGCUUCAGUAGGAACCUUUUUGUUAUGUUAAGUACUCACUGAGAGCUGAAAUCACUUGUGGUGUGGCAAGUGUUUCUGCCCAGCCUGCUGAGAGCUAAAAUCACUAAGACACUGAUCUACAGAGAUCACAGAAAAAGAGGCAGGUGACUGACAGGUGGCCAGCAUGAGCGACUGGUGAAAGUGGCAAACAGUCAGCUGGUGGGAGGCAGCGAGGAACAGCAGACAGCAGGGCGGCCAGGCAGUGAGGAACAGAGGCCGGCAGAGCAGCCAGUCAAAACAAGUGCUCAGAUGAUGGAGCAAGCCAGGUGUCUUCUUCCCCAGGUGGGAGGUGAACUCCCACAGAUACACUUCUGAAACCUGGGUCCUCUCUGAUCAAGGACAACCACAGUGAGUAGGACAUGGUGAGGAAGCAGAGUGGGGUACAGUAAAGGAACUUUUGGUUGUAGAACUCAAGAACAUGAGGCAGAAGACUCUGCCCCACGCACU